rnacentral:misc_RNA from 1 species
CUAAGGAUAAACCUCAGUGCCGUAAGGUAUUGAAGGUAAUACGGAACCCUACAGGGUUUAGACUUCUUUGUUUAGUUUUGAGAGGUUCAUCUCUCAAUUUUGUUCUUUGAAAACUGAAUACUAUAUCACAACAAAUAACCAAUUAAUUUACCGAGAGUUAGAGUAACAUCUAACGAAAAGAGUUUUUUAACAAAACGCAACGCUAUGCGACAUUUAACCAAC